rnacentral:rRNA from 1 species
UACGUAGGGGGCAAGCGUUGUCCGGAAUCAUUGGGCGUAAAGAGCGUGUAGGCGGUUCGGUAAGUCGGCUGUGAAAGUCCAGGGCUCAACCCUGGGAUGCCGGUCGAUACUGCCGGACUAGAGUUCGGAAGAGGCGAGUGGAAUUCCCGGUGUAGCGGUGAAAUGCGCAGAUAUCAGGAGGAACACCGGUGGCGAAGGCGGGUCUCUGGGCCGACAUUGACGCUGAGGAGCGAAAGCGUGGGGAGCGAACAGG